GACGAACGCUGGCGGCGUGCUUAACACAUGCAAGUCGAACGAGUGGCGAACGGGUGAGUAAUACGUGAGUAACCUGCCCUCUUUUUGGGAUAAGCUUUGGAAACGGGUACUAAUACCCAAUAAAGGGGGUUGGGCUCGCGGGCGAUCAGCUUGUCGGUGGGGUGAUGGAAUACCAAGGCGGUGACGGGUAGCCGGCCAGGGAGGGUAACAGUGCAAAUGGGAACGGAGGGACGGCCCAGACGCCUGCAGGAGUCGGGAAUAGGGGAUAUUGGACGAGGGGCUAAAGCCUGAUGCAGCGACGUCGGGUGGGGGAUGAAGGCUUUCGGGUUGUAAACCUCUUUCGCUAUCGAACGGGUAGGUGUAGAAGAAGCGCCGGCUAACUACGUGCCAGCAGCCGCGGUAAUAC
rnacentral:rRNA from 1 species